rnacentral:tRNA from 1 species
GGCUGUGGCUCAGUGGUACAGCACUUGCCUAGCAUGUGUGAGGCCUUGGGUUCAAACCUCAUCAUCA